rnacentral:rRNA from 1 species
UACGUAGGGUGCAAGCGUUAAUCGGAAUUACUGGGCGUAAAGGGCGCGUAGGCGGCCUGCUAAGUCGGACGUGAAAUCCCUCGGCUCAACCGAGGAACUGCGUCCGAUACUGGUGGGCUUGAAUCCGGGAGAGGGAUGUGGAAUUCCAGGUGUAGCGGUGAAAUGCGUAGAUAUCUGGAGGAACACCGGUGGCGAAGGCGGCAUCCUGGACCGGUAUUGACGCUGAGGCGCGAAAGCUAGGGGAGCAAACGGG